rnacentral:lncRNA from 1 species
UGUUGCAUUGCUUAUGUGAAUGGCGAGUGUUUCAGCUUGUCCUACUAUCAUUUCAGUACUACCAUAUUUUCCCUGAAAUAUUUCAUGUACUUCCAAAUAAACAAGCAAGUAACCACAAAAAAAAAAAAAAAUCCCAUUUAACAACUCCAAGACCAAAAUCUGACUGGUUCUUUAAAUUUGAUAUCAUCCAGUCUUCUAAAUCUGC